rnacentral:rRNA from 1 species
CUCACCAGGUCAGGACACGGUAAGGAUUGACGGACUGAAGGCUCUUUCUCGAUUCCGUGGAAAGUGGUGCAUGGCCGUUUUUGGUUGGUGGAUCGAUCCGUCUGGUUAAUUCCGUUAACGAACGAGACCUCGGCACUCCGAAUAGCGCGGCGGACGUCGCGGCCUCCGGGCCGUCUUCCGCACGAGCUUCUUAGAGGGACCGUCCCCCGCCGGGGAAGGAGGUGCGAGGCAACGACAGGUCUGUGAUGCCCUUAGAUGUUCUGGGCCGCACGCGCAUUACACUGACGCGUCCAACGGGUGACUCCCGACCCGAAGUGGCCGGGGAAUCCGCAAGGCGCGUCGUGAUGGGGAUUGAACGUUGCAAUUGUUGUUCACGAACGAGGAAUUCCUAGUAGGCGCGGGUCAUCAACCCGCGCCGAUUACGUCCCUGCCCUUUGUACACACCGCCCG